rnacentral:miRNA from 1 species
GGAAAAACUCGUCAUGACUGAU